rnacentral:tRNA from 1 species
CUGGUUAGCUGAGUUGGUAGAGCGCUCCACUGGGAGAUGGAGUGGUCUCUGGUUCGAUGCCAGGACCAG